UAUCGUGAUUUCUAUCACAAUAUCAUUGAAAUUUCUUUCGAUGGAUCAGAACCAUUUCAAUUCUACCCAUCAAGGAUCAUCGAUCAUCAAGAUUAUGCUCGUGGGUCUCACAAUUCAUCAGUGACAUCUAAUAGCAUGUAGUGGCAAUCCAGUAGAAUAAAAGGUGAUGAACCUCUAAGUGCAGUUAGCAUAUGAUACAGUUCCUCUAUCAUAAGUUCCAACCAGUUGGCAGAUCAUGAAUAAAUCGUUUAACCUCAACAUCGGUCAUAUGAUAGAUUCAAUUAGCUUGAGUCCAUCUGUGAUUCUCAUGAAAAUUUUUUUCCAUCAAUCACACUUCUAUGGUCAUAGAUUUAAGGAUUCAGCCUCUUAAAUCCCAGAGAACUACUCUCCUCUGUUAGGAUCGAUAGAUUCCAUCUAGAUGCGUAUCCUAUUUCUACAGUGGAUCAACCAUCGUCAACAUCCUCUACAAAGACUCAUUGAGUUAAUGUUUAUGUAUAGUCAAAUUCCAGCAGCCUCAUUGCGAGCAGUUAUGGCACCGCUGGUUAAAGGUCUAGUCACACAAUUGCAGCAU
rnacentral:lncRNA from 1 species